UAGGAGUUGGAGGCAGCAGGUCUGGGCACGGGUCGGCUUAUGAAACGAUUGAUGUGUGUUCCGUGCCUUACGCCGAUGGCAACUCCGCCCCUCUAGUUGGUGUCGCCUCGCAAGGCACCAGCCGGGCUUGAUAGAAAUUCAAGCCUGCGGUGACGGGAUCCCUAUCGUUGAUUUUUUUCGAAAAAAAAAAAAAAUUUUCAAAAAAAAUCAACGAUAGGUAUCUCGUCAUCGGUGCGGGGACGGUGGGUUUCCUAUGUUGAUCUUGCUUGUGUAUUUGCUGGACGGAAUUAGUUUCGAAUGCUUCGUUAGUGACCCGACUCUAGUUCUUGGCAGCCCGUGAUUAAGCGAGUCCUCGAGCUGUGACCUCGGACGUAACUACGUCAUAUGUGGUUGUUAAGACGAUGAGCUUGUUUCUUUUAGCGACUUGAUCCGAUGACGAUGCGCCCGUGAUUUAGCGAGUCCUCGAGCUUCGAUCUCGGACUCGACCACAUCAUAUGUGGUUUCGGAGUUGUUUGGUCUUGUUGCCCGGGGCAUGUUUAGACACUCAUUCCUUUGACGCGAAUACAUUGGCAAGAAGUGAUGCAUGGCCGCUAAAGAUUGUCCUGGUUCCUGAUUUUCGCAUCGUUCGGUGCAUUCUGGGGCUGUUUUGGCUUUUGGUUGCUUGCCUGGCCUAUGAGCCGAACGGGUGGCUUCAAGUUGGGAUGGCUUCGGGGAUGAUGUCCGUAAAGGUGCAUGAGUGGUGUUUGGUUUGUUACGUGUGGUUGGCUGCGGCGCUUGCAACAACUUCCAUGCUUUCAAGCCUCUUCAGUUAUGCGGCAAGGCUUGUAUCGCCUUGAGCGUGUUGCGGGUUUACUGUGUUGAAUACCUGAUCGACGGUACCGGUUGGAUAGAUCAAAAGUUCAUUUCGUCUUGCGUUGCAUUCGCGGCGUGAGGUGAACCAUGACGCGGUCUCUUUGAUCCACCUUGAUGAAGGAAUGUUUCAUCAUCGUGGCCCAUUGAGCAUUGCUUGGUCUCUCGUAUACGGAACAUGUAGUGGGCAUGGAUCUAACGAUUCUUGUUUGCCCUAUUUCUAGCGUUCUCGCUUCUCUAAAACGACUUGUGCUACGUGUUGGCUAGUCCAAUCGUGGUGCUACGUCGAAGAG
rnacentral:misc_RNA from 1 species